rnacentral:misc_RNA from 1 species
CCGCGAGCGUGAUCAGCGAAGACACGUUGAGGAGAGGUCCGCGGGGAUGGCGCCUGAGAUACGGUUUCCUGCCACUGUGAACGACUCGAGUCCAUGGAUUCUACCGAAGCCCUCGGGGAUGGUGCCCUCGAGCCAGGUGGUUGGUCUCAAGGUUGAUUUCCCUCAGGGAAGAAGUGAGAUUGGCGAGCGACCGGGGGAUCAGCCCCGUGAGAUUGUUCGGCCCCAGCAGCACGCCUUGGAGCUUUGGCAGGCCUCCAAGCCAACCAGGGACUCCUCCCGUCAGCUGGUUCCCACCAAGCCUGAUGCUCACAAGGCUGCUGCAGUUCCUCAGGCCAGCCGGGAUCUCGCUCUGCAGCGAGUUGUUUGACAUGUCAAGGUAUCGCAGCCGGUGCAGGCGGCCAACUGCCGCGGGGAUUUCGCCUUCCAGCUUGUUUUGGCUGAGGUCGAUGCUCGUCAGGAACGUCAAGUUGCCCACCGACGCAGGUAUGGUGCCGGCAAGGCCGGCAGAGCUGAGAUGGAGUGCUGAGACCCUGCCUCCGUGCCUGUGGCUGCAUGUCACACCUGGCCACAGGCACAGGCUAGCGCUACUGUUCCAGGACGACAGCCUGCUUGAUCGCUGGCCUAGGACGGCCUUCAGCUCCAGCAAGGCUUCCCGGUCCGUCUCACUUCUCAACGGUGCUGCUGACGCCGAAGUUGGUGCUGGUAGGAUCCCAUGAAGCAGCAGCAACGGAAGCAGCAGCACAAGUCUGGUGGGGAGCGACAUGGGUGCAGUGCAGCGCCUUCGUUUGCUGCCACUGAGAAAGAUCCAAGAUCCGAACCAAGUAUUUCUGAAAGCAUAUCAACAAGUUAGUUGCUAGUAUUACUACUUUGUAUAUUGAUCUAAUAAUCUUCGUCAGCCGAAUGUUCUGAGUUUUUUUUUCGAGGCACAAAAACUUGAUUUUGAGAUGUA